UUUAUCGGAGAGUUUGAUCCUGGCUCAGGACGAACGCUGGCGGCGUGCCUAAUACAUGCAAGUCGAGCGGACAGAUGGGAGCUUGCUCCCUGAUGUUAGCGGCGGACGGGUGAGUAACACGUGGGUAACCUGCCUGUAAGACUGGGAUAACUCCGGGAAACCGGGGCUAAUACCAGAUGCUUGUUUGAACCGCAUGGUUCAGACAUAAAAGGUGGCUUCGGCUACCACUUACAGAUGGACCCGCGGCGCAUUAGCUAGUUGGUGAGGUAACGGCUCACCAAGGCAACGAUGCGUAGCCGACCUGAGAGGGUGAUCGGCCACACUGGGACUGAGACACGGCCCAGACUCCUACGGGAGGCAGCAGUAGGGAAUCUUCCGCAAUGGACGAAAGUCUGACGGAGCAACGCCGCGUGAGUGAUGAAGGUUUUCGGAUUGUAAAGCUCUGUUGUUAGGGAAGAACAAGUGCCGUUCAAAUAGGGCGGCACCUUGACGGUACCUAACCAGAAAGCCACGGCUAACUACGUGCCAGCAGCCGCGGUAAUACGUAGGUGGCAAGCGUUGUCCGGAAUUAUUGGGCGUAAAGGGCUCGCAGGCGGUUUCUUAAGUCUGAUGUGAAAGCCCCCGGCUCAACCGGGGAGGGUCAUUGGAAACUGGGGAACUUGAGUGCAGAAGAGGAGAGUGGAAUUCCACGUGUAGCGGUGAAAUGCGUAGAGAUG
rnacentral:rRNA from 1 species